rnacentral:rRNA from 1 species
CAGUCGCCGCGGGAAUACGUAGGGUGCAAGCGUUAAUCGGAUUUACUGGGCGUAAAGCGUGCGUAGGCGGCUUCUUAAGUCGGAUGUGAAAUCCCUGAGCUUAACUUAGGAAUUGCAUUCGAUACUGGGAAGCUAGAGUAUGGGAGAGGAUGGUAGAAUUCCAGGUGUAGCGGUGAAAUGCGUAGAGAUCUGGAGGAAUACCGAUGGCGAAGGCAGCCAUCUGGCCUAAUACUGACGCUGAGGUACGAAAGCAUGGGGAGCAAACAGGAUUAGAUACCCGUGUAGUCCCUGUCUCUUAUAC